AUCAAAAAUAAUUUUAAGUGCCAAGGAAUAAAAAAACUUUGAACGGAGAAAGAAAAUAAAUAAAAGAAAGAAAACCUUCCACGACUCUUCUCCUCCAUAGCCUCUCGUCUCCAUCGAGUUUUUCUCCGUCUGUUAAUAAAAAAAAAAAAUUCCGACGAAUACUGAUAGUGAAACUUUCUCUCACUAUAUUCGCAAAGAAGACACCAUCAUUGAAUCGAAUUCAGAUCACACAAUUCGCCAUAGAUAACUCAACUACAGAUCUGUUAUCUCGAUCGGAAACCGCCGUAACUCGACAUCCUCUCUUUCGAUCUGAUUCCAUAACCGUGAAGCCUCUCCCGAAUCUCUCGUUCCAGCGUCUUUAUCCUCCUACAAAGCUAAUGUUCAGUCCUCUUCUCUCCGUCGUCCUUCAUCCGGAGAUCUACUCACUUCUUCCGGCGAUUUCCUCCGUCUCUGGGAUAUUAACCAAGAUUCUUCCACAGUUGAGCCUAUCUCGGUUCUCAACAACAGGAAAAUGAAGAUCCUUUUCAUGAUGUAAAGAGCAAAGAAGAGACAAGUAAACCCCUUUAUGAUUCACUCCUUUCAGAACCUCCUGAUUUAAGUAUUUGGUUUUCAAGCUAUGUCUAUGAAUCACCGAUGCUGGAUGGUUUUUGUGAAGAAAGGGUCUAAGAAGAAGCGUUUUGCUGCUGUAAUUCUGCGUAUUUGAGAGCUUGGAUUUGGGAUGAUGAUGGAUUCUGGAGAACAUAAGCUUGAAGAAGUAGUUGUCCCGUUUAAAGGGAAGAGCUGUAAGAAGAUACGUAAAACUCUUAUGUUUAUUUUGUUACAACAUAUCCCAGAGAUUUGUGGAGCACGCCUCUGCUAGAGCUUCUCUAUAAGCUUGAAGAAGCAGUCUGGUCUUCUUACUUCUUUUGCUUACCCUUUGUAGGGAGGCUUGGGCGAGGUUGUUCUAUGUUUCUGCCGCUUUUAUAUGUUGUAGAACAAGUGAUGUUAUCGAGCCUAUGAUAAUGCCCCGGUGGUAUGUUAAUGGCAACAUGAUUGGGAAGGAAGCUCUUGGUGUUGCCACCACUGAUGAAAAAAAGAAGCCCGAGUUUAUACCAAAGCAAUACACAGCAAAAUGGUGAAGGUCUUGUCUUGUUCCUUAUGGAUUUUAAACUUUGUGUUAUGUACUAUGUAUUAUGUUUGAUUGUGAAAUGGUGAAUUAGGGAUUUAAUAUUAAUACAGGUUCCGGAUCAAUUUCAAAAUAACAUGAAAACAGUAUUCUCAAAACACUUAUAAUCGCAUCUAAAAUCCUGCUAUAACAGAAUAUAUUAUAGCAUAAAAAUAUUGCUUACGAAAACUGAAUUAAACCGUUUAACUAACGUGUUAUGGUAGAAUCACCUAACAUAGCGUGUAUAAUGACUUAUAACAUUAUCUUUAAAAAUUUGAAAAGCGGGAUAACAUAACAUUUC